rnacentral:rRNA from 1 species
GGGGCUAAGCUAUACACCGAAAUUGCGGAUUUAUAUUUGAAAGACAAUGUAAGUGGUAGAGGAGCAUUCUGUAGUAGGAAGAAGCAUGACCGUAAGGACAUGUGGACGAAGCAGAAGAGAGAAUGCUGGAAUAAGUAGCGAGAGGAUGGUGAGAAUCCAUCCCGUCGAAAAUCUAAGGUUUCCCAGGGAAGGUUCGUCCGCCUGGGGUAAGUCGGGACCUAAGGAGAGGCCGAAAGGCGUAUCUGAUGGACAGCAGGUUGAAAUUCCUGCACUACGAAUAUACUUAAAAGAUUCAAGGGACGCAGAAGUGGAAGAUAACCAAGUAAGAGGAAAAGCUUGGCUCGCAAGAGGGAGUGAAAAUUAAAAGUAACGAAGUAUCAAGAAGCACGCUGACGAGAAAAGCUUGAAGAUAUUGUAUAUAAGUACCCGUACCGCAAACCGACACAGGUAGAUGAGGAGAGGAUCCUAAGACGAGCGGGAGAAGCAUUGUUAAGGAACUCGGCAAACUAACCCCGUAACUUCGGAAUAAGGGGUGCUGAUGUAACAGUCAGUCGCAGAGAAAAGGCCCAAGCAACUGUUUAACAAAAACAUAGGUUUCUGCUAAAUCGAAAGAUGAAGUAUAGGAGCUGACGCCUGCCCAGUGCUGGAAGGUUAAGGGGAAGAGUUAGGGUUAAACCGAAGCUUAGAACUGAAGCCCCAGUGAACGGCGGCCGUAACUAUAACGGUCCUAAGGUAGCGAAAUUCCUUGUCAGGUAAGUUCUGACCCGCACGAAAGGCGUAAUGAUUUGGGCGCUGUCUCGACAAUGUCCCCGGCGAAAUUGUAGUACUAGUGAAGAUGCUAGUUACCUGCGAUAAGACAGAAAGACCCCAUGGAGCUUUACUGCAGUUUGAUACUGGGUUUCGAUGAUUUAUGUACAGGAUAGUUGGGAGACUAUGAAAGAGAGGCGUCAGCUUCUCCGGAGUCGUUGUUGGGAUACCAACCUUAAGUUAUUGAAAUUCUAACUUGUAAUCGUAAACCGGUUAGAGGACAAUGUCAGACGGGCAGUUUGACUGGGGCGGUCGCCUCCUAAAGA